rnacentral:ribozyme from 1 species
UUCAUCUUCAAGCGACAGAGUGGAGGAGAUCGUCAACAAAACACAAAGGGAUCUCAUGCGCCCGUCUACCAAGACA